rnacentral:lncRNA from 1 species
ACAUUGUCACAGCAACAAAGGAAUGUUUGGUAACAAAGGCAGUGACCUCACAGAAGCUGGUCUUAACCCACCUUCCUGAAGCUCAGGGCAGAUCAGAGCCAGCCAAGAGAGAACUGGGAGGCAAGGGAAGACCAUAGUUGUACUUUGCCUUAGAGGAGCUGUGACUACUACAAAAUUACUGUCCUGGAAAUAGUCAUUCAUUCCAUAAACUGCAAAAGCCAAGAUCACUUUUGUACUUUCAAAGCCAACUGAGAUAUCAUAAUGUCUGGAUGCAUUCUAGAAUGCUGGAGGUAUGUGCACAAUUCCCUCUCUUGCCAAGGCAUUUCAAAGGAUUUUCUUUGUUAUUUUAC